ensembl:lncRNA
CCACGUUUGAAAGCUUUGAAAUUGUGCUCUCCUUUUACCCAAUAGUUGUUGUUUUUUUAUUAAUUCAGUAUAACGGUUUUAGGGAUGAGCAGCGAGCACCUUAAAUGACUGGACAAUCUUUUAAUAUAUUAUCAUUUAUUUAUUAAUUUAGGUGUUUUGCUGAUAAUUUAUUUGGGUGGUGUAAUGAUUUAUUCAUAUAUUUGCAUAACUGUUGGCCUGGGCUAAAAUAGUUAACAUGGUGCUGUUGAGAGCUGUUAGUCAGAUGGAGGGAUUAGAACAGUGUGAUUUGAACUUCCUGUGCUACAGUCAGCAUGUCAAGCACAAGCAGAGAUAAAGACAUCAGUCGCGCACCAGAAACGGGGCAGGCCACCCCAGUGGCAUAACAGGAUUCUCUCCAGCGCCCCACACAUCACGCUCUUCACAGUGUGUGGGGGUGUGGGGUUGGGGUUCUGUAGCCGUCUCCUUCUCUAUGGGCCUCCUCAUUCUUUCCUAUGUGUUUAUUUCUCAACCUUUCUCUCAACACAUGUAACUGUUUUUUUUAUCUGCUCUCCGCAGCGCGUGGCGCUCAGUCCAGACGAUGACGGAUUCCCCUGAGGGUGAUUCUUGUAGUUGCUCUCUCCUUCUCCGUCCCUGAAUCCAUGCGUCCUUUAGUCCUCCAUCUCUCCUUCCGUCGAGGAGGUCGCACGAGACAACGCAGCAAGGCACAGAGAGCCAAAAGGACACGAGAGCACUUGCUCUGCACAGCCGAGAGCUACAAACUGGUCACUCGAGUCAGAUUUGACCCUUCUAAAAGAUCUGCAGCCACUAUCUGGAGAUGACGGGUUUCACCUCCCAGUUUUGAGAGCACUGCAGGGACUCGCCACGCUGCUCCUUCACCCCACUCCACUGUGACUAACAUUCGUAAUAUCCGUAACUCCUCCUCAUCACUGUCUACCUGUCAUCCCCAUCGGCCCAACAUUGCUUUUGAAAGGGCUACCAUUCUUUUAAAAUGGACAAUACACUGGACAAUAUACUGGAACCUCUCCUGGAACAGUGCUCUUUAGUUUGGUGGACUUGUAGAGCUGAACCGCUGAUGAGUCGGGUCCUCCACACCCAUGGUAAACAUUCCCGUCUGUUCUCUUUGUGACCUGUGUGAAAAAAAAAAGACUUCUGUUUUGGUUUGCCCCUAUGAGAUCAUGUUGACAUGAUGUAUAUUACUUGAACUGUUCAUUUUUUGUAUGGUUUGUAGGGGGAGGAAGGAGGGCCUGUUAUUCCUGUCAUUUGAGGAAACAUGCGUCCCGGUCAUUCCAUAGCUGUAUGGAGGCAUUUUGUACGCUGUUUGUUGCACAAACUUUUUCAAGAAGCCUUCUGCACUGUGUAAAUUAUUACAUAGGAUGGGGGGAAGGGUAGCCGUUGCAGUCAAAUGAGUCUGAAUCAUGAUUUGUAAAUAUGUUUUCAUACAGCAAAACUUUUGAUAAGGUUUUAAACAUUUCUUGUAAAAAGAAGAUGUGUAUAUUAGUCUCCUGGACAAAAAAAAGAGUGUAGACCAUACAUGGAUUUAUUUGUACUCGAGAGCACUGGAUUUCUUUACUACUUGAUUGUAACUAAAAAUUAAUAAUCUGCCAAAGUGUUUGUAUUUUUUUUUCUUCCUCCUGGUCUUAAUUUGAUUUUUGCUUUUUAACCGUA